rnacentral:sRNA from 1 species
AUGUGUGCUGCAUUAGCACAUAUGAAGGAACAGGACAUUGAAGACGCUUGGUUGCACAACAUGGAAAAUGCUCCACAGAGCGAAGCAUUUACAAAAUUAACGAUUAUCCCAGUGGUUAGAAAAUGCAAGUAUACAGUUUAUGUGGAAGUUAUAAUUUACUUUCAGAUUAAGGCUGAGCAGUUUGUUAAGGACAGUAUAAUUCUUCUUCUCGACAUGAUCCUGAAACAUCCAGUAAUAACCACCAAAGCUACGAACGCAACCAAUAAUAAACUAAAAGAAGAAGCAUGGAAGGCAAUUGCACAGGAGUUCAGUGCUGUUACGGGAGAUAUGCAGCGUCCUGAGCAAAUUCGACUCAAGUGGGAAAAUUUGAAAAAGUUUGCAAGGAAGCGUAGUGCUUUCAUAAGACAAAAUAACCUUAAGAAUGGAGGAGGGAAGUCUUAUAUACCUCCUGAUGAAGUUUUGGACUGAGUAGCAUCAAUUUUAGGUACUACAUGCAAUGGCUACCCUGCGGAGUUUGGUGGUGAUUCGGAUGAAGCUAUUGUACAGAGAGCUCAGAGAGACAAAGAUCUGGGGUUGGCAGCUUACCACGUUGUUUUUGUUGUGAGUUUUGUCCGUGUAUUUUCUUGAUUUAUUACAAAAAUAACGCUAAAAAGUUGUUGUAAUAAUAUAAAAGAGCACUAUUUACUAUAAAGAUACGCUUAAUUUUUUUGACAAACGCACAUACCAGUGAUUGCGCGUCACCUCAUUAUUAUCUGUGAUUCUCCUUCAUGUUUACUUUGUGGUGUGGUCUAUGAUCACGUAGUGAUUAGUUAGUAUUGAUAAUGUUAAGAUAAGUAGACGAUAGGAAUGCCUCGUACAGAAUAAGAUAUUUAAUAAGAUAAUAAUUAGUUAAGAUAAGCACGUAGCUUUUCCUUUGUAUAAAUAGUGUAGUAUACUCAAUAAAGGUGUGCACUUCUUUGUAGGUAUUGGUUGCCUUGACUAUACCUAAAUAUGUAGUUCUGUUGUUUUAUUAACACGUCUACCCUCAUCAACACCUAAGGACCCUGCCUGUCGGAAGGUUGGCAAGCCCAACAUCACAUGGCGACCCUGCCAUUCGAACGGACCCUGCCAUUCGAACGGACCCUGCCAUUCGAGCGGAUCUUGUGAUUCGAGCAGACCCUGCGAGACCCUGCGAGACCCUGCGAGAGCGGUUGGACAAUAUCGAAACGCCAUGGGAAGCACGACGUCCAAAGAAGAAGUAAUAGUAGCCCAGACGGCAGCAGGAGGAUCAAAUGUCGCGACGGUGGCGAAGGAACAAUUAGCAACGACCAACACGGUGCUGUUUUUUAUAGCCACUUGUUUUGCGCUUAUGAUCAUUGGCGUGGUAUUCUGGUUAUAUAGAAGAUGUCACCAGAACUGGAUUGAAGAGAAAAUACGACAAAGGGAGAUGCAAAGAGUAGUGCAGACGGCCUAAGGAGCAUACGGAGCGACAGGAAGAUCUGAAGUAAGUGUUUAAAUAUGUACUAAGUGUUGUGACAAUGUUGUGGUUUAUUGUGAGUUAGAGACAAUAAGUUUUUGUUCAAAUGGAAGUAGAGUUAACAACGUUAUUUUUACAGUUAAAAUUAUUAAGAGAAGCUAUUGUUAAAUUAGGUCCCAGUAGGCGACAGGGACAAAACUUUGAUAAAAAGAUAAAUGAAGCAAAAGCCCUUUAUAGUAAAUUUAAAUGUAUAAUUGAAGGAACGAGCAAAGAAAAAUGUUCAGAGGAAUUAGUGCAAUUAGUGAGUAACAUAGAAAGUUUGUACAAAAAUACUAUUAAGUUUGAGAGCGAGGUCAGUAACGAACAGAAAAUGGCGGCAGAAAAGUUUUCGUUGAAAACGGCGGUUAGCUUACUACCGAAAAUGAAUGGAGAUGAACAAGUUACUCAAGAUUUAAUUGAUGCUAUAGGAUUAUAUAGUUCUAUGUUAGAAGGGACCGAUAGUGUUCUUUUGAUUAAGUUUGUGCUAACUACACGGCUUACCCAGGGUGCUAGGAUUCGGUUGUCACCUACUUACGCGUCGGUAGACAGUCAGAUAUGAAGAAACAUCUUCUUACGGUAAAAUCUGACGUUGCAAUACAAGCUAAGUUAACAAGCUAAGCUAGGCAAGAUAAUAAAUCAAUUGCAGACUUUGGAGCAGAAAUAGAAAGGCUGAUGACUGAUUUGGCUAUUUCUCAGGCGGGAGAAGAUUCGGAAGCUUAUAAAAUAUUACAACCAUUUAACGAAAAAUAUGCAAUUAGGAAGUUUGCAGACGGUCUUCGUAAUCAACGUCUUGGUACGAUCAUUACGGCACGGAAUUUAACAUCCUUAAAAGAUGCUAUUAGGGUAGCAGAGGACGAGAAUUGUGCUUCAUCGUCACAAGUCAUGACGUACCAACGCUGGCCCUCAAGGAGUAGUUUUUCUACAUUUAAUAGAGGUCGUGGAGAUAGUGUUAGGAGACAUUCUGUAAGAAAUUCGUACACGCAGAGUACGCGCAAAAAUGUCAACAUGGGGCAUAACGGUGGAAUGCGCGGUCGCAGCAAUAAUGCUUAUCGAGGACGGCAGACUCAGCAAGGUAGAAGGCGUGUAGCAUACUUUUCGCACGUGCGGAGCGAUAAUGAUUCAUUGUCAAUGUCACGAAGUAGCGAAGGUGGACAGUUGAAUGAAACGCAGUUUUUUUCGAGUCUAAGCAUAUUUUAGCUUACGAUAGUAUUAACUGGGUUAAUUUAGUAAUAAAUAGUAUACAUAGCGAAUGGUUAAUAGAUACGGGUGCGUCAAUAUCAGCCGUAAAAAAUAUUUUUUUAAGGGAUAACGCUUUGAGCUGUAAGAUAGUUAAGGAUGAGUUAGUGAUUAAUGGUGUAGGAGGUAGUUUACGAGCUAUAGGUUAUGUACAUUUAAAGUUGGAACACAGACAGUGUUCAUUCGUGCAUAAGUUUUAUAUAUUUGAUGAUUUGCCUUGUAAGUCAGUUGGCAUAUUGGGACAGGAUUUCUUGCAGAAGUAUGGAGGUAUUAUAGAUUUUUCGACGAACAGAUUGACUCUUAAAAAUCAUGCUAGACAGUUAGUUUCGAUGCCGCUAAGGACCUAUGAUUUCUUAUUAACUAUACCUCCGCGUUGUGAAGUAGUAAGGUAUUUUCCUGUUAAUAGAGCAGAAGAUUGUGUAGUGAUUAGGAAAGAACUACGCAAAGGAGUUUUUUUAGCUAGUGUGAUGGCUAGGCCUAGGAAUGGGAUGAUACCCAUUAGAAUUUUAAAUACAACCUCUGAGGAAGUUAUGUGUAGCAUGUCGAAUGUAGAAGUUUUCCCAUUAAGUAAUUUCGAUUGUUGUAAUUUUGUAAAACCUGAAAAGGACGUUGAGCGUGUAAAGAAAAUAUUUUCUUUACUUAAACUUGACUAUUUGAGGUCCGAGGAGAGGUUGUCAGUUGAGCAAAUAUGCGCGAAAUAUCCAGAUAUUUUCCAUAUUCCAGGAGAUAAGUUAGCUAUCACGAAUGUAUAUAAGCAGUCGAUACGAUUAAAAGACAAUGUUACUCCAGUUUAUAGGAAACAGUAUAGGAUACCGUAUAUGCAGAAAAAGGAAGUUGAUAGACAGGUACAGGAGAUGCUAGAGAAUGGUAUUAUUGAAGAAUCAGUUAGUGAGUGGUCUAGUCCUGUAUUGAUAGUUCCUAAAAAAGCGGAUCGUAGUGGUGAGAAAAAAUGGCGUGUAGUGAUAGAUUAAAGACAGUUGAAUGAAAAAAUUCAGGACGAUAAAUUUCCAUUACCGAAUAUAACUGAAAUCUUGGAUUCGAUGUCAGGAGCUGUUUACUUUAGUCAUUGUGAUUUAUCUCAAUCGUAUUAUCAGUGUAGUUUAGAUGAAGAUAGUCGGAAGUAUACGGCUUUUACUACGGAUAAAGGUCAGUAUCAAAUGUGCAGGUUACCUAUGGGAUUAAAAAUAAGUCCAAGUGCGUUUAGCAGGUUAAUGACUGUAGUCAUGUCUGGAUUGAAUUAUGACAAAUGUCUAGUAUAUUUGGAUGACCUUGUAGUGUUCGGAAGGAAUUUAGAAGAGCAUAAUCGAACCUUAUGUCAGUUUUUUCUCGACUAAGAGAAGUAAAUCUUAAACUUAAUCCAACAAAGUGUGAAUUUUUGAAAAAACAAAUACUUUAUUUAGGGCACGUAAUUUCAGCAGAAGGUAUUUCACCAGACCCAGAAAAGGUCAUAGUAAUUAAAAAUUAUCCGCGUCCAACAAAUAGUGAGGAAGUUAAGCGUUUUGUAGCAUUUGCAAAUUAUUAUAGGAAAUUCAUUCCUAACUUUGCUAGAAUAGUUAUUCCAAUGACUAAGUUGUGUAAAAAGAAUAUGGUGUUUCAGUGGACCGAACAAUGUGAGGAAUCAUUUUUAUUAUUGAAACAAGCAUUGAUGAAUCCUCCAGUAUUAGAUUAUCCAAAUUUUUCUGAUAAAAAUACUUUUAUAUUGCAGACAGACAGUUCAGGUUUUGCUAUAGGUAGUGUCUUGUGCAAUGGGAAUGGAAAACCUGUUGCAUAUGCUAGUAGAUCUUUGAAUAAGAGUGAGUUAAACUAUCCUAUAAUAGAGAAAGAAUUGCUGGCUAUAGUUUGGUCAGUUAAGUAUUUUAGACCAUAUUUAUAUGGGAGAAAGUUCGUUGUAAAAACUGAUCACAAACCACUUUUGUAUUUGUUUAACAUGACAGAUCCUUCCAGUAGGUUGACUAAAUUUCGAUUGUGUUUAGAAGAAUACGACUUUGAGGUCGAAUAUGUGAAAGGAAAGGAAAAUGUAUUAGCCGAUGCUUUAUCCAGAAUAGUUAUUUCGAGUGAAGAGUUAAAGAGCAUACAUGAAAAAACUAUAUCUGUAAUGACCAGAGCACAGUGCAAACAGUUAAAAAACUCGGAUAUUCGUAAGACAGACUCUGCGGUUAAUAGGACUGAUCACCCUAGGAUCGUAGAAGUUCUUAAAAAACAAGGAAAUGAUAUAGAAGUACUUCAGGUAGGUGUAGAUAAGUGGGAAAAGUUGUUACGUAACAAGAAGAAUGAUUGUAAAACGAUAUUUGCAAAGUCGCGUAAUUUAAUGUAUAUGCCAGAAAACUCGAGUAUUUAUAUAAACUAUGAAUCUUUAUCGGCAUCAUCGCGAGACGAGUUGUCGAAAGACAUAGUCACAUUUUGUGUGGAAAAUGGAAUAAAAGAAGUAGUUAUUUUAAAAAAUUGUUAUAACAAAGAGAUGAUAGAAAAACUGGCAAAAUAUUUUAAAGAGAAUAGUAAAUCGAUAUGUGGAGAUUUUAAAGUUUGUGUAGUAACGGGUGUACGAAGAGUGGAAGAUAUAGAUGAAAGAAAGAUCAUUAUGAAUGAUUUUCAUAUUUUACCCACGAGUGGACAUGCUGGAAUACGUAGGAUGGUGAACAAUAUAAAAAAGUAUUAUUAUUGGCCAUCUAUAGAAAAAGAUAUCGGAGAGUAUGUGCGGAAAUGUGAUAAAUGUCAGAAACAAAAGUAUCAGAAAAAUAUUAGGGAACCAAUGACCAUAACAACCACAGCAUCAUCAGCUUUUGAAAAGAUUUAUUUAGAUGUAGUAGGACCUUUUGAUAGGGACGAAUAUGGGAAUGUGUACAUAUUGACGUUGCAGUGUGAACUUACUAAGUUCGUUGAAGCCUAUCCAUUAAAAAACAAGUCGGCAAAUGAGGUAGCAAGAGUUUUAGCAGAAAAUUUUAUUUUAAGAUAUGGAAUACCAGAAGGCAUUGCGACAGAUAGGGGUUCUGAAUUUAUUUCAAAAGUUAUGGUAGAAUUAUGUAGUAUCUUGGGAAUCAGGAAAACAACAUCAACAGCGUAUCAUCACGAAAGUAUAGGAUCGUUAGAAAACGUUCAUAAAACUUUAGGUGCAUAUUUGAGAAUACAAACAAAUAACAGUACAGCAUCAUGGAGUUCUUGGAUUCCGUAUUGGUGUUUUUCAUAUAAUACAACAGUUAAUACCGUAACCAAGUAUACACCUUAUGAAUUAGUUUUCGGAAAGAUAUGCAGAUUACCAAGUAAUCUACAAGGAGCAAGUGUUGAACCAUUGUAUAAUUUUGAUAAUUACCCUUUAGAAUUUAAGUAUCGAUUACAAAGAGCUCAAGCUGAUGCUAAACAAAACUUAGUAGCUAGUAAAAUAUUGAGGAAAGAGUGUUAUGAUAGAAAUAUAAAUCCAAUAACUUAUAAAGAAGGUGAUUUGGUGUUAAUUAAAAAUGAAACGGGUACCAAAUUAGAUUGUGUAUAUGACGGACCGUUUGUGGUUGUCAAGGAUGAAUCACCAAAUGUUGUAAUUAAGGAUAAGUCGAAUGUAGAUAAAGUAGUGCAUAAAAAUAGGACUAAGUUAUAUUGUAAAAGGUAAAAAAAAAAAAAAAAGUAUGCAUUUAUUUUUUUUUCCUUUGGAAGGGUGAUGUGGUGUGGUCUAUGAUCACGUAGUGAUUAGUUAGUAUUGAUAAUGUUAAGAUAAGUAGACGAUAGGAAUGCCUCGUACAGAAUAAGAUAUUUAAUAAGAUAAUAAUUAGUUAAGAUAAGCACGUAGCUUUUCCUUUGUAUAAAUAGCGUAGUAUACUCAAUAAAGGUGUGCACUUCUUAGUAGGUAUUGGUUGCCUUGACUAUACCUAAAUAUGUA